rnacentral:rRNA from 1 species
AUUGGAUUGAGAACAACGUACAACUCUUAUCGAUAAGCCAUUGGAGGGCAAGUCUGGUGCCAGCAGCCGCGGUAAUUCCAGCUCCAAUAGCGUAUAUUAACGUUGUUGCAGUUAAAAAGCUCGUAGUUGAAGUGAGGGAGUGUGUGUUCAUGAGAGCUAGUCUCGAGUGUUCACAACCUCCCCCCUCCAAUCGGUGUAGUGGGGUAUUCAGUUAUUUCACUACUCCUUUGGUCGUUUACUGUGAGAAAAUUAGAGUGUUCAAAGCGGGCGUUUGUUUGAAUAGAUUAGCAUGGAAUAAUGAUUGAAGGCUUUCGUGUUCGAUUUGAUUGGUUUGUUCAUGGAAGCAAGGUUAAAAGGAACAGUUGGGGGUAUUCAUAUUCACUAGUUAGAGGUGAAAUUCUCGGAUUUAUGGAAGAUGAACAAGUGCGAAAGCA